CUUCCGGUUGAUGUCGCCUCUAACCUCUAACCCUACUGCGACUUGAUCGAAGACGGUGACCUCUGCGCUUCUUCUCACCACCAGAAACUGUUUCGUCAUAAAUAUUUGCGAGAUUCCUCUCUUUGAACUUUUCCUCUCUUCGUUUUCUAUUAGGGUUCCUUCCUUCGUUCCCAGAUUUUGAUUUUUAACCGGAAAUAGUCAUUUUUUCUCUGGCGACUGUGAGGCUAAUUAAUCGUCUGGUGUGUGGUUUGAUAAAAAAAAAUGGAGGUGAUCACUCAUCCAACACCUCGAAUUGUCGAAGAGGUCUUUACUGACUUCAGAGGUCGCUGAGCUGGUCUUAUCAAGGCUCUCACCACCGAUAAUAUAUGGUGAAGUUUUACCAAACGUGCGAUCCUGGUGAGUUAUUUUCUUCUUCUUCUUUUAGUAUUUUAAUUAAUUAAUUAAUUAGUCUUUGCUUGGCUUCAGAUUUUAUUCAGACAUGUUUCAUUAUUAUUCACAGUUCAAUAAUUUUUGUUACGUUUAUUGAUGUAAGAUGAUCUGGGUAUCUUUUAUUAAUUUAGGGCAUCUCCAAUGGAGCACUAUUUUCUCCUCUAUAAUUCACUCUAUUUUAGAGUAACUCUAUUAUAGAGUUGAUUUUGCUCCAAUGGUUAACUCUAUAAUAGAGUGACUCUAUAAUAGAGUGACUCUAUAAUAGAGUAGAAAAUAGAUGGAUUCAACUAUUUCACUCCAAAUAUAGAGUAAAAUGGUUGCAUCCCUCUAUUUUUCACUCUAUAAUAGAGUCACUCUUAUUAUAGAGUUAACCAUUGGAGUAAAACCAACUCUAUAAUAGAGUUACUCUAUGGAGUGAAUUAUAGAGGAGAAAAUAGUGUCCCAUUGGAGAUGGUCUUAGAAACUUAAGUUUAGAUGAUUUUGAUGUUUAGAUUUUGGUUUAAUUUUUAAAAAAAAUUUGUUGAUGUAAGAUGAUUUUUGUUGAUGUGAGAUUUGCUCUUGCAAGACUGUGGGAUCUCCAGUAUAAAAAGUCCGGUAGAUGUUCGGGAGGCGAGGAAUAUUAGGCGCGGUGAAGAACUCAUGUCUGUCGACAUGCUAGCUGUUGCUUGAUUCGAAGGUGACCAAUGCCAGCCACCGUGACUGCUAGCCGGGUUCCAACCUCCGGGAUUCAUCUCAGGGCGGGGUUGAUGUAUUCUAUCACCGGCUUUGAUGUGGCUCGGUGUAAUCCAAACUUCAGGUUCUCUGACUCCUCUCUUUCAAUCCGGUUCAGUGAUGCAGCCUCCUCUCCUUGAAUUUGUUAACUGAACUGAGUUCUCCACUGCGAGUUCUCCACUGCCCGAAGAAUGUUUCCGGUUUGGUAAUCCUCUUUCCAGUUGUCAUAAUCAUUACCGGAAAUUGAAUUUAAUAUUCAGCCUUCCAGAGACAUCAUUGGGGAGAUCACCGUGGUGAAGACUACUGUCAGUGACCCACAGGAAGCAAAAAAACACUUGAUGGCGACCAUCAAAGUGGACAACGAUGUGUCUGUGACUCUGAGUUUGUUCGACUCCCACGCUGUUUCGUUACACAGCAGACUGGAAGCUAUGUGUGUUGAUCCAAGGGUUAUUAUUGCUACAAGCUUGAAUCCGAAGAUGGUUGGAGGCCGUUUGUUUUUUUUGUUGAACUUCAUGAACGCACAUUUAUUUCCAUAAGGAGACUAAUGUGGGGGACAUCUGCUUUUACAAGUUGGUCCCCACAAACACUGGGCUUCCAUCAGCAGCUUCACUUCUGAGAGGACGUGCCAAGGUUGAGUAUAUGACCAUAUCUGAGCUUAAGGAGUUUGUUAUAACUGCUCCAUCUCAGGAUAUUGACUUCUUAUGGAAAAAUGGUGGUGUUAUGUUGUUUGCUCUAAGUGCACCAAAAAGCUUCAACGCACCGUCUCCGCACUGCGACAAUACACAUGCUGUUGGUGCCCUCCAGUAUGUAACAUAUUGUACUAUACUAUUCCUGUGCGUUUUAGUAUGUGUCGAGCACCAUAUUAGCAGCUGACUCCAUUCUAACUCUCAGAAUCUUUUUCACCGUGUAAGUCCUAACACAGUUCUUGCUAAGGUUGAAACUGGGGGUAGCAGUCAGGCAGCACCGAAUGUGGGGGCAGCUCCAGAUGGUGACGAAUCAAAGAUGGCUUCCACUGAAGCAAGCAUCCAAGGUGGUCAAGAAUAAUGCUUUGCCAUCGAUGAGGUUUCUUUUUUAAUAAUUUAGAAGUGGUGUCUGUUUCUGGUUUGUUUAACUUCCUAAACAAUCUGCAUUUUCUGAAAUUUCUUUUACAUUGUGUUUGGCUUGAAUGUUCAUAGUUUGUACGCUUGGUUUAAGUUAAUGCAACCCUUCAAUGUUUGCUCAAAUA